UACGUAGGGGGCAAGCGUUGUCCGGAUUUAUUGGGUUUAAAGGGUGCGUAGGCGGUUCUGUAAGUCAGUGGUGAAAUACUCCAGCUUAACUGGAGGGGUGCCAAUGAUACUGCAGAACUUGAGUACAGAUGAGGUAGGCGGAAUUGACGGUGUAGCGGUGAAAUGCAUAGAUAUCGUCAAGAACACCUAUAGCGAAGGCAGCUUACUGGGCUGUAACUGACGCUGAGGCACGAAAAGUGUGGGGAGUCAAACAGG
rnacentral:rRNA from 1 species